UACGUAGGGUGCAAGCGUUGUCCGGAAUUAUUGGGCGUAAAGAGCUCGUAGGUGGCUUGUCGCGUCUGCCGUGAAAGCCCGUGGCUUAACUAUGGGUCUGCGGUGGGUACGGGCAGGCUAGAGGCUGGUAGGGGCAAGCGGAAUUCCUGGUGUAGCGGUGAAAUGCGCAGAUAUCAGGAGGAACACCGGUGGCGAAGGCGGCUUGCUGGGCCAGUUCUGACGCUGAGGAGCGAAAGCGUGGGGAGCGAACAGG
rnacentral:rRNA from 1 species